AACUAUGUACCAUGUUAAGGUACAAACCAGAGGAUUACACAAUACAAAGACUUCUAUAAAUCUUUCAUUUUUGAAAGGACAAUCAGAAGAAAAGAGAAUUUGUAUAUCCUGCUGUUUAUCAUGGUAGCAGAGAAGCAGCUCUCCUUGUUUCCCUGGCAAGCCACAAGACCUAUAUGAAGAAAAAGAUGUUCCUUCAUCUUCUUACAAUACGGAAACAAUGAAAUAUUCUAUAUUAAAAAUGGACCCUCCAUUUUUCUCCAGUUCUAAAAGUUCACUUUUGACCAUUUUCCAAAUGUAAAAACUUGCACACGAAGAACUGUUUCAGAAGUUUGUAAGAAAGCCAAGGUAACAGUUUCUAUUAUUAAAAGUUUUGCAUUUCGUAUGACCAUUUAUCAUAUUGAAACACACCCAGUUAAAUGUUGACUUCUGAAAAAUUAUUUGCCUUGCUUGACUCAGUUUUAUCUCUAAAUUAUGAAUACGUUGAGGUUUCUACCAUUAUGUAAUCUAAAUCGUUACUAUACCUUUGUUUGUGAAAACUCACCCAUAUUUAGACUGUUAAACUUCAGGUAAGUUAAAUUCUUGCCCUCACACUCUUCUGCUAAGUAUUCCUAUGGUUUUCCAACUCAUCAGAGCCAAGUUCUGAAGCCUGAAUAUAUCAUACAUUGUUACUUCUAAUUGGUUUUAAUGUUUAUUAUGCUCCUCACAAGUGCAGAUUAACUUCACAUUUGCAUCACUAAUAGACCUCUUGCUGAGCCUCAGCUCCUUCUACUUCCUGCC
rnacentral:lncRNA from 1 species